rnacentral:tRNA from 1 species
AGAAAAGUAAGCUAAAUAUUAAGCUAAUGGGUUCAUACCCCAUCUAUGGAGACUCUCCCUUCUCUA